AGAGAAGUCUUUUCUUUCGCGUCGGCAGGGCAGAGUUGCAGCAUCACAUCUUGCAGGACAUAAAGAUUAAACUAAAGGGGUGCAAUCAUGCCGAUGUUCGUGGUGAGCACAAACGUGGCUAGAAGCGAAGUACCAGCGGCUCUGCUGUCCGAGGCCACUGAGGAGCUGGCCAAAGCGAUGGGCAAACCUGCACAGUACAUUGCUGUGCAAAUCAACCCAGACCAAAUGAUGAUGUUUGGCGGAAAGGGGGACCCCUGCGCUCUCUGCUCCCUCCACAGUAUUGGCAAGAUAAGCAGUGCUCAAAACAAACAAUACUCUAAACUUCUGUGUGGACUUCUCAACAAACACCUGGGCAUCUCUCCUGACAGGAUUUACAUUAACUUUGUAGACAUGGAUGCAGUCAAUGUGGCCUGGAACAACAGUACCUUUGGCUGAGAUGGAGGUCACACACUGAAAUAGAAGAUCAUUCCAGUAUUUUCCUACAUGUACGAGCAUAGUUAAAAAUGACAAAUCAAAGAGGCACCUUGAAAUUUAUUGGUGAAAAUACAGUAUGAUUGUCUUCAAAGCACUUAGCUGGACCCUUUAGCAUUGCACUGAUCCUUUUCCAUUAAAAUGCAAUAAAGCAAACCUUGCAGAACAUAACCAAAUCUCUGUUUUCCUGGAUUGUCUUCUAUGAAAAGAGCCUGUUUUGCUUGGAAUGGAUAUGUGUGGUACAGGUCAUGACUCUCUUCCACCUCUCUGAGCUUCUGCAUUAUGUGAGCUAUUGAAAAUAAGCUAUAGAAGAAAUAUUAAACGACAGAGAAUUCUACUUUUUACCAAAAUGAGAGUGAAAAAAAGCUGUCAGUUUUUCCUAACUGAAUGCUUAUCAACCAUUGCUUCACCACAGUGAGCCAUUUGUUUGUUGCAAACUAUUGUUUACCUGGUGUUCAUACACAUAGUGGGAGAUAUUCAUUUUAAUUCUCAACUUUAUUUGCAUGAAAAAUUUCUUUCUAUCUGAGGGGAAGCCACACUUCUUUUUUUGCCAGUGAACUGCACAAAUACAGUAUAAAAAAAAACACCCCUCACUAAUUUUGCCUAUUUUAAGAGAGACUUUUUAUCCUUAUAAUUUUGUUAUUUAUUUCAGUGGAUAUUCUUACAUUGUAAAGGUUGUUUUAAACUGGUUUAUGUUUUAAGUUUGAGUAGGUUAUCAGCAGUUGCACACACCACUUGGAAUUUCUGAACUCUGAAAAUCGCAAACACUGAAUUAUUCUUGUUAGCUGAGAAAAUAUAAUGUCUAUUCUUUGGAAAUGUCUUUUUAGUCUUCUUGACAGAGUUGAUGGUGUAUUUGGCAGUAAUAAUCCCUCUUCUAGAAGACUAUCAUAGUUUGCAUCACUUCAAUUACCUACAUUUUUAUAUAAUUUCUCACCAGGUCGGUUGCUAAGGUAACCACUCGGCACAGAAAACAUGUAGCGCAUGCGCAAAGGAAGAUGUUUGUCUAUUUCGCGAACAUUUUUACACAACAAAUAUGCAUACCAUAUAGGUAUAGUGACAGUGACGUGACACUGACGUUACCUCUACGCCUCCCUCUCUCUUGGGGAUGUUGAGUAAACAUGGCGGAUGGACACCUUGUAGUUUCUGCACGUUGACUUACCAACUAGAAAGAAAUGUAGUUGGUUUGGCAUUUAGUUAGAUUUCGGAUUAGCCGGUUAAUAGUUCAUGUUGCGACGUGUCUGCGGUCCAGAAGAAGUUAAUCAUCAUUGGCAAAGUACAGGAUUUCGCCUGGUAACGAACGCUCAGCAUUUCACAUAAGGGGGGAAGUGAUAGUAGGAAGGGAAAGGACCACUACAGCAUCACACAAGACUUUCCUCUUGAAGACAUCUGUAAGCUGCUGCCUACCAUCUUUAAAGAUGUCUGACUAUCUGACGAGAGAGUUCAGGGCCCAGCUGACCACAAGCAUGGACUCAGUUUUGAGGAGAGCUGUGUUUGAAAUAAUGAUGAUCUUUGACAACAGCCUACAUGACCACCAAAUGGAGCUGAAGCAGAAAGGAGAAGAGAUUGCUCAACUGAUAAUAAAGUUACAGAGUGCAGAGAUCAAGCUGAAAGAAAUCGAGCGUGGAGUUGACGGAGGAGUGGAGAUGAAUAAAACUCAGAUGACUGAAAUUCAGACAGAGCCUGUGAAUGCCGCUCAACAAACUUCAGAUGUUCCUGAGAUUGAUUUUGAAGUACCUGAUGACUGGUGUGCUCCAAUGGGCUGUGAGACCUCGACCAAGCAAGAUGUUACCGUGUGUCCCACCAUAAGACUGCGCAAGUUGUCCAUUCCUCUGUGUCCCAUUCCAGUCAUCAAGCAAGAGGUGGUUGACCGUGACAUUGACUCCUACCAGGAAAAAAAGGUCCUCAGGAGAUCCAAGAGAAGUUCCUCAUUAAAACAGAGCCACAAACAAACACAGGACGGACCCUCACCAAUGGAUGACAAAUUAACUUCACAUACACCAAUGAGAAACAACAUGAAGAAAUUGAUCCAAGACAUAAAACAGGAAUAUGCUGACCUAACAGGUGGCACAGGUUCUCAAAGAAGAUUGAGAAGAAGAAAAGAGGAAAGUAAAAUCUCAGCAACUGAGCCUAAAGAAAAGGAGACAGUGACAAAUGACAGUGAAAAAAGAUACGCCUGUAGGUUUUGUAAGAACGUAUUUGAUACAGAGUUUGGCAGAAGUGUGCAUGUACAAUCACACAAGAGGUGCAGUGGUCGCAAGAUCUUCCCUGUUCCAAGUGCUCUUGGAUAUCAUACAGCAUAUUGCAAAAAAAUUAAGAAAUUAAAGGCAAAAGAAGCCCGGUUCAGUAACCUUGCAAAACCUGACUCCUGUGAGGACGAAAAGCAGACUGCACCAAGCAUAAAACAGGUGAGCGUUAACAAGAAAAUCACACGUUCCUCUAGCAACAACCGUGAAUCAUCCAUACAGACAGAUGGGCCCAUCAAAAAGUACUCCUGUGAACAAUGUAACAAGGCGUUUAAUCAACGAUAUAGGCUGGCAGAGCACUCACGGGUUCAUACCGGUGAGAAGCCGUACCCUUGCAGCAUGUGCCCAAAGAAAUUCCGUGUUAGUCAGUCACGCAAAAAGCACAUUAUGAGAAUACACAAAUACCAAACGAACUCCAGUGAGAUAAAUGGAGACCUUGCAUGGACCAUGCCUUUAGAGGAGAUUGAUGAUGAUCAAAAGAAUUUGACCUCUCACAAGACAGACAAAAGUCAAGCAGUGAAACAUGAUCAGAGAGAUAGCAGUUCACACACAAGUCCAAGUUCAAGAUGGAAAUCAAUGGGCACACGCUGCUCUAAAGGUUUUGCCUGCUUACUGUGUCAGACAGUCUCAAAAAACGUAUACCUGUUGAUUGAACACUUUCGCAUCCACACUGGAGAGAAGCCCCUCAAAUGUGACAAGUGUCCUGAAGUGUUUCGUACUCGUGGACAGCUAAGCGUGCACAGGAAGAGGUGUUGUAAAACUAAGAAAGCGACCAAGUGUGCAAAGUGUGGAAAGAACUUCUCUGCACAAGAAAAGUACAGCAAGCACAUGUUCAAAUGUCACAAAGAAUGGCCUUUUCACUGCAAGGUCUGUGGAAAAGGCUUCUUCCUGAAAUGGCGCCUCAGCAACCAUAUGGAGCGUCUCCAUAAGUGAGCCAGUGAAAGUUAGCAUCGUCUGUCUCUGAAUGUUACAUGAUAAGUUUCUGUUGUUUUUUUCUAUUUUGAGAUGUAAGAUGAUAAUCAUAUAAAUCAGAUCUGUAUUCCACAUCUCUGUUGCUUGACACAUAUUUGAAAAUGUUAAAGUCAAAGUCAGACUUCUAACAUUCAGAGUUAUGUUAUUUCAUCUGAAGCUUGAGUCGUAAAAAGACAGAACAAAGGUGAACAUAUUUUAUGGUUCCAAAGUUUAUUUUAUUUCGAAGAGGUUGUAGACAUAAUGCAGUAGUUGGUCUUUAAAGCCAACUGCUCUUUAUUUUUGUUAUAAAAUGAUUAUUAUAGUGUUGCUCGACUUUUUCAUCAUUUCAACAUUUUAUCAUUAAAAUCCACAUUCUAUA